UACAGAGGUCUCAAGCGUUGUUCGGAAUUACUGGGCGUAAAGGGUGCGCAGGCUGCGCGGCAAGUCAAAUGUGAAAUUCAGGGGCUCAACCCCUGCAUUGCGCUUGAUACUUCCGCGCUCGAGCCUUGGAAAGGAGUCUGGAAUUCUCGGUGUAGCGGUGAAAUGCUUAGAUAUCGUCAAGAACACCGAUAGUGAAGACAGCUAACUAAGCUUUAACUGACGCUGAGGCACGAAAGUGUGGGGAUCAAACAGG
rnacentral:rRNA from 1 species